GUAGGGAAUAUUGCACAAUGGGGGAAACCCUGAUGCAGCGACGCCGCGUGAGUGAUGAAGGCCUUCGGGUCGUAAAGCUCUGUCGUAUGGGACUAACAAAAUGAAGGUACCAUGCAAGAAAGGAUCGGCUAACUUCGUGCCAGCAGCCACGGUAAGACGAGGGAUCCUAGCGUUGUUCGGAAUUAUUGGGCGUAAAGCGGGUGUAGGCGGGCCUGUCAGUCAGGUGUGAAAUCCCAGGGCUUAACCCUGGAAGUGCACUUGAUACUGCAGGUCUUGAGUGUGGUAGAGGCUAUUAGAAUUCUUGGUGUAGUGGUGAAAUACGUAGAUAUCAAGAGGAAUACCGGAGGCGAAGGCGGAUAGCUGGGCCAACACUGACGCUGAGACCCGAAAGCGUGGGGAUCAAACAGGAUUAGAAACCCUGGUAGUCC
rnacentral:rRNA from 1 species